CUCCUCGUUCCCCCGUUUUGGGUAAUCUAACAUUAGGGUUUGGGCAUCGGCGAAUUGCUUGUCCUUCAUGGCAGAUCGCAACAGCAAUUCGGCGGCGGUGACGGCGGCGGCGAAGCCGAUAUGGGUGAAACAUGCCGAGGAGGCCAAGUUGAAGAGUGAAGCCGAGAAAGCUGCCGCCGCGAAGGCUGCCUUCGAGGCUACUUUCAAAAACGUUGACCCCUCAACCGUAGCUGCUGCCGCAGCUUCGGAUAGUGAUGACGAGGAAGAGGAGGACGAAGAGAGGCUGGCCAAGAAGCCGAUCGGCCCUUUGGACCCCAACAAGUGCACGGCGGCCGGCCCUGGCAUCGCUGGCGGGACGGCCUGCGCUCCCUCCACGUUCACGGUUGUUACCAAGGACGCAGACGGUCGCAAAUUGCUCCACGGUGGGGCGCAGGUUAAGGUUAAGGUUGCUCCUGGAGUGGGAGUUGGCGGCUCCGAGCAGGAGGGGAUUGUUAAGGAUAUGAAUGAUGGGACUUAUAGUGUGACCUAUGUGGUUCCCAGCCGAGGAAAUUAUAUGGUUUAUGUGGAGUGCAAUGGGAAGCCAAUUAUGGGUAGCCCAUUCCCUGUUUUCUUCAGCACUGGUACAUCUACGGGAGGGCUAUUGGGUGUAGCUCCAUCAACUACAUUUCCAAAUAUGGUUAAUCAGACAAUGCCAAAUAUGCCAAAUUACUCUGGUUCUGUGUCUGGGGCAGUUCCUGGAUUGCUUGGGAUGAUUCCAGGUAUUACUCCAGGAGCAUCAGGUGGGGUCAUUUUACCUGGAGUUGGCUUGUCGCUUGGGGAAGUUUGUCGUGAAUAUCUUUAUGGUCAAUGUGCAAAAACUGAUUGUAAAUUCAAUCACCCCCCUCACAAUCUUCUAAUGACUGCUUUAGCUGCCACAACCAGCAUGGGAACACUUAGUCAGGUUCCUAUGGCACCUUCUGCUGCUGCAAUGGCUGCCGCUCAGGCAAUUGUUGCUGCACAAGCACUUCAAGCCCAUGCUGCUCAGGCACAGGCCCAAACUCACUCUGCAAAAGACUCUUCAGCUGAGAAAGAGACAAAGGCCAAUUCCCUUAAGAAAACUGUGCAAGUUAGCAACCUCAGCCCACUGCUAACAGUGGAUCAGUUAAAGCAACUGUUUGGUUUUUCGGGAACAAUUGUUGAAUGUAGCAUUACUGACUCAAAGCACUUUGCUUACAUAGAAUACUCAAAACCAGAAGAAGCAACUGCUGCUUUGGCAUUGAACAAUAUGGAAGUCGGUGGUCGCCCAUUGAAUGUUGAAAUGGCCAAACAACUUCCUCCAAAACCAGCCAUUUUAAAUUCAUCUACCACUUCUUCUUCUUUGCCUUUGAUGAUGCAGCAAGCUGUUGCCAUGCAACAGAUGCAAUUCCAGCAGGCUCUGCUAAUGCAACAAGCAUAUACUGCUCAACAGGCAGCUAGUCGAGCUGCAACCAUGAAGACUGCUACUGAACUCGCAGCUGCUAGAGCUGCAGAAAUUAGUAAGAAACUAAAGGCUGAUGGACUUGUCACUGAAAGCAAGGAAGAAGAUGAUAAAUCCAAGUCACAAUCUGAUACUCAAGCCAGGUCCAGGUCAAGAUCCAGAUCCAGGUCCAAAUCCAAAUCCAAGUCAAGAUCUCCCAUUAGUUAUAGGCGAAGGCGAAGAUCUCGCUCUUUCUCGCCCCUGCCACGACGGUUAAGAGGGAAUAGAUCCAGGUCACCACUAAGAUCCCGCCAUUAUUCAAGCUAUGAGGACGAGCGCCUAUCAUAUAGGGAUAGUAGGCAUGCCAUUGACAGAAGUAGAAGGAGGGAUUCUGGUAGAUCAUAUGAUCUCCGUUCACCCGUUUCAAGGAGAAAUAGGAGCAGGAGUUUAACCCCUCGAGCUAGAAAGUCAUAUCGGGAUGAUUCAAACUCACCAAAACGCCAUCAGGAAAGUCCAACGCACAGGAGACGGUCUUCUCGUGCUGAAUCUAGGUCUCCAGAACGUCGAAGGAAUAAAUCAUCCCUCAAGAGUGAUGGAAAUAAAUCAAGACAUAGACGGCGAUCAAGGUCAAACUCUGUGGAAGUCAAUCAUCCCUCCAGUGAUAAAGUUGAUGAUGAAAAACAAGGAAAAUCCAAGAACAAGAAUGAGAGACACUCGAGGUCAGUCUCACCACAGGUUGAGCCGGAUGGACAAAAUAGAUUGUCCCCUAAAAUCUACAAUGAAAGCAAACCAAAGAAAAGGAGAGACUCAAGGUCCAGAUCACCAGAAGGAAAACACCCUUCUAAUAGAAACAGAGAAGAGAAAGCUAGAGCUAGAUAUAAUGAUGAUAGAAGGUUCUCUAGGUCACGGUCUAGAUCCCCUGAAGGAAAACAUUAUACAAGUGAGAAAUUUGAUAGAAACAAAGAAGAGAAACCUAAGCAUCAUUCUAGAAAGCAUUCCAGAUCAAGGUCUAGAUCUCCCACUGAGAAACACCACUCAAGUAGUAAGCUGGACAGGAGUAGGGAAGAGAAGUCAAAGCGCCAUGAUAGAAGGAGGUCCAGAUCAAGGUCAACUGAAGCUAAGCGGCAAAGAAGUAGCAGGAAAUCUCCAAGGCAUUCAGAUGAACGCAGAUCAAGGCAUCGAAAACGGUCAAGGUCUAAAUCUCUGGAAAGCAAGCAUGGAUCUGAAAAUAAUGAUCUAAAUGGAGGAAAAGAUGAACUCACAAGGCAUGCCAAUGAGAAGCCUGGAAAGUUAGAUGGCAUCUUGGAAGCAAAUCUGCAUAGUUCUGAUUCAAUGGACUUGGAUGAUGAUAAUCUUCAUCAUGGGGAUCAUAAAAAAAGUGUGAAACCAGAGGGCAGUGACAAUGAAGGAUCUGAGUUCAGCAAUAGGGAACAAUAUCAUCCUUAAAUACUGUAAUUUGAAUAUAGAGAUACUGGUGAUUAGAGGAGUUUCUUCCAUUGGAGUAUUGGACACUGAUUCAAAGCUUUCUGAUUCCAUUUGUGUGAGGGCCAAUUUUGCGAGCAAUGUGACAGCAGAUUGUGUUGAAGCUUAGGUUUUGAGGAACCAGAUCCUAAUUUGUACAAGAGAGGGCUCCCAUAAGAGAUGUAGUGGUCACUUUUGAUUACUCGCUGUUCGUGUGACAAUUUCGCUGUGUUUGCUUUGUAUUGCAGGUGGUGGAGGCAAUUUGGAACCUGAUGAAGCAAUGAUUGUUGGUAUUAUAUUCAACAAUUGUCUUUGAACCCUUGUGGAUCAACUGUGCAAUGUUUUUUUAGCAAACUACUUUAUGAGUUUGCUGUAUGGUGGACUAUUACCUCUGUCAAGAGGUAGUGAAUUUCUUAAUUGUAUGCCCAUGUUCAUGCUGGCUUAUGUGGGCGCUUUGUCAAAUGAGUCAAACAGUUUAUCUGAUUGUAUAUGAAGGUAGUGAAUGCAACCAGGUAUUGCUGAGACGGGUAGCAUCACCAUGCUCCUUGAAUCCAAGUAUGUCCCGAGUUGCUAGGUUUCUGUUCUUAAAUUUAUGGUGAAAGUGAAUUGCUAUUUUCUAACAGCUUGCCAGAUGCUUAAGCUAUUAUGGAGCAUUAUAUCAAGACAACUGGCUUACCCUGUAAUAGUGCAACUAAAUAGGUUUUACUCAAAUAGAAAUAGUCCCUUCUUGCACUGUGGUCUAACCUUUACGGCUUUACUCCUUUCAGUCUUAACAUUUCUAGUAUAUGUGUAUGUCAUUAUAAAUUUUAGUUGCUUAGUAGUUGUAGUCCUCAGUCAUCAAAUUUCAGUUAAAGUAGUCCAGUUAUUUGAUAAGUUGACUCAUACUAUACUGUUAUUUGUCAUCCUCGAGUUUGUAAUUUUUGUUAGAUUCAAUACUUAAACUAGUAACAAUUCAAACUGA